GGCCUCGUGGUCUAGUGGUAUGAUUCUCGCUUAAGGGUGCGAGAGGGUCCCGGAUUCGAUCUCCGGGCAAGGCCC
rnacentral:tRNA from 1 species